GUGGGGAAUUUUGGACAAUGGGGGCAACCCUGAUCCAGCAAUGCCGCGUGUGUGAAGAAGGCCUUCGGGUUGUAAAGCACUUUUGUCCGGAAAGAAAACUUCGUCCCUAAUAUGGAUGGAGGAUGACGGUACCGGAAGAAUAAGCACCGGCUAACUACGUGCCAGCAGCCGCGGUAAUACGUAGGGUGCGAGCGUUAAUCGGAAUUACUGGGCGUAAAGCGUGCGCAGGCGGUUUGUUAAGACCGAUGUGAAAUCCCCGGGCUCAACCUGGGAACUGCAUUGGUGACUGGCAAGCUUUGAGUAUGGCAGAGGGGGGUAGAAUUCCACGUGUAGCAGUGAAAUGCGUAGAGAUGUGGAGGAAUACCGAUGGCGAAGGCAGCCCCCUGGGCCAAUACUGACGCUCAUGCACGAAAGCGUGGGGAGCAAACAGGAUUAGAAACCCCAGUAGUCC
rnacentral:rRNA from 1 species